UCAGAUGAACCUAAAUGUGGUGGAUAUUAUUGAAGGAACAGCUGUUUCAUUUAGGUGGUAGGCUGACUGGUUCUUUGCAUGCUUAUGGAAGUUUGUCAGUGUUGGUUCUGCCCUUGAUUUUGUUUUGAAUGUUUGGUUCAUCUGGUAUUUAAGUGGGCAAGUGAUCCUGAGUGACACAGCCACCAAAUUCUCACAACUUGGAGCUGAUUCCAAGGAGAAUGAAGAAUUGUAUUUUCUUCAGCAGUGAUAAAAGAAUUGAUUUCCUGUGUGAGAUCAACUAUCUUUGUCGAGCUCAUUUUGGAUUUCCCAGUAUAUCAGGCUUAAACUCUUGGUGAGACAAGGCCUUGAGAAAUAGUAGAGGAAGAAAUGGCUUUGGGCAAUCUCUUUUCCUUUUAACUGUGGAAGACAGAACAAAAGAUGCUGAAGUUCUGUGCAAAACCAGUGCUGCUGUUCUGUAAAAGUCCAAAAAUCUAGGCCUGCUGAGUUAUUCCAUGCCCCUGUUGUGAGCUCAGUGGAUUUUUCAAAAUGAUGACUUUAUUUUUUUCCUGCUCUUCACAGUCCUGCCAGACUACCCUCCAGCAAAAUGCAUUUCAGAGAAGCUCGAAAAGUCCUUCCACCAAACCUCAGAGCCCCAAGUGUACAUCAAGACCCAGUUACCUGCUGCUGAAUGUCCUGGACCUUUCUGCUGUCUCUCCUUAUUACCUGACCCUUUCACUGAUGACAAUCUGACUAUGGAGAGAACUUCUGAAGUACUCAACUCCUUCAUUUCAGUUGACUUGAAAGGGAAUUAGAUGUCUGUUUAAUGCAAGUCUGUAUCUGAGAUGACUUCUUCACUGCUAUGCAGAAAUCUGGGCUGGAGCAGGGCAUUAAGAAAGUCUGGGUUGGUGCCUUCACAGUGAAUCUCCCUCCCUUCUACAGAGCCUGCUCAGUCAUGCAGGCUGUCUCUGGCCCUCAAGGAGCUAUUUUCUAUACUGACUGUUACUGACUUUGCUUGUUUGUGCAGAGACAUUUUCUGACUGUCUGGUAAUAAAGUUUUUGCUACUGCUUGCUCUCUGUCCUGGUUAACUUGCUGAUGCAUCAGGAUGAUGGAAGGG